GCAAACUUGGUCAUUUAGAGGAAGUAAAAGUCGUAACAAGGUCUCCGUUGGUGAACCAGCGGAGGGAUCAUUAUAGAGAGCGUAAUAACUCCCUACACCCAUGUGAAUUUACCUUUUAUUGCUUCGGCAGGUCAGGACCUACCCGGGAAGACUUACCCUGUAGGUGCAUCCUGCCGGUGGCUUAUUGAACUCUGGUUAUUGUAUGGCAUUCUGAAUAAAGAUGAAAAUAAGUUAAAACUUUCAACAACGGAUCUCUUGGUUCUGGCAUCGAUGAAGAACGCAGC
rnacentral:misc_RNA from 1 species